GACAGUCGGCAAAGAUAAUAAAGUUUUUAUUAUCUAUGACGGGAGGCUGUUUUCAAAUUUCAAAAUUUCAAAUUGUACCUAGCGUCGAGUUACCUCUAGUCUUGGCACUCGUCAAAACAUCUCUGAGAAUAUCAAUUACUGUAAGUUUGUCAUUUAUAGAAGGUAGUUGACUACAUAUUUAAAAUGGGGAGGCACGGAGCUAUAUUCACUGACUUUUGAGUUUUGACUAAGUACCUCUUAAAUUAUUCAAAUCGCUUAAUUAUACUUUUGUCAAUCACACUCGUUGAUAAUGCAAUGCAAAUAUAAAUCAAUCGUGAGGUGGUGCUGUACCAGUCAUUGUUCCUACAAAUACUACCACUUCGAGGAUUCUUGAAAUGUGACAAAUGUAAUGUAACUAUAAAGCAGUAACUUUCUACUCUAAAAUUUGACAGUCCGUAACAAUGAUCAAGUGAUAUACAGAAACAAAAAUGACCUCACCUGGAGUACAAGUAUUUAGAUUUUUAUCCAAUGCCGAACUUAAACAGAUAAAUGUGAUUUUUUGGAGAGCAAUGAUGGUAGGUAUUGCCAAAUACAUUACUUGUAACAUCAAGUUGUGUCGAAGAUUCAGAAAAGACAUGCAAGAACACUUAAAUAUGUACCGACGUCACCAGAAUUGUUAAGAUAUUUAGCUAUGAACCAACAAAGCUGUAGACAGACCUCUGUCUAGACAUUUCACUCAGAAGUGCCAUAACAAUUACCACAGCUGUUGCGAUGGAACUUGCUAGUAGUUUUGUAAUUUUCAUUAAGUAAAAUAUUAUAUAAAUAUUGGACCCACAGAAAAAAAAACAUACAAUUAAUAUUUUGUGUAUUUUAAAACCUAAAAUAUUUUUCUAUGUGUGUAGACACUUGUGGGUACAUGAAAUGCUGCCCCAAAAAUCCUUAGUGUAGAAAUUAUCUCAGUUGUUUAUGUCAGUAUUUCAUGUUUUUUAUGAUUUAGAUUUAUUUCAUAUAAUAUUGUUUAAUGUUUUGAAUCAAUAUUUUUUACAUAUAAUAAGUAGGAAUAAUCAAGGCUGGGCAUUGACAAGUAAUUUUUUUUUUCUUAGAAGUAACUUCUAGAUUAUGUGUUACAUUUUUUUCCAUACUAUAAAGUAACUUUUGAAUAAA